GACGAACGCUGGCGGCGUGCUUAACACAUGCAAGUCGAGCGGUAAGGCCCUUUCGGGGGUACACGAGCGGCGAACGGGUGAGUAACACGUGGGUGACCUGCCCUCAGCUCUGGGAUAAGCCUGGGAAACCGGGUCUAAUACUGGAUAUGACUCCAUGACGCAUGUUGUGGGGUGGAAAGCCUUGUGCGGCUGAGGAUGGGCCCGCGGCCUAUCAGCUUGUUGGUGGGGUGACGUCG
rnacentral:rRNA from 1 species